rnacentral:rRNA from 1 species
UCCUACGGGAGGCAGCAGUAGGGAAUAUUGGACAAUGGGUGCGAGCCUGAUCCAGCCAUGCCGCGUGCAGGAAGACGGCCUUCUGGGUUGUAAACUUUUGCCAGGGGAUAAAAAGUCCCUGCGGGGAAAAUUGAAGGUACCUGGUGAAUAAGCCACGGCUAACUACGUGCCAGCAGCCGCGGUAAUACGUAGGUGGCAAGCGUUGUCCGGAUUUAUUGGGUUUAAAGGGUGCGUAGGUUGUGUUGUAAGUCAGUGGUGAAAUCCGGCAGCUUAACUGUCGAUGUGCCAUUGAUACUGCAGCACUUGAGUACAGACGAGGUAGGCGGAAUUGACGGUGUAGCGGUGAAAUGCUUAGAUAUCGUCAAGAACACCGAUAGCGAAGGCAGCUUACUAGACUGUAACUGACACUGAUGCACGAAAGUGUGGGGAUCAAACAGGAUUAGAUACCCUGGUAGUCCACACUGUAAACGAUGAUUACUCGAUGUUGGCGAUACACAGCCAGCGUCUUAGCGAAAGCGAUAAGUAAUCCACCUGGGGAGUACGCCCGCAAGGUGAAACUCAAAGGAAUUGACGG